AAAACACCCAAGGGCUGUAGCUGCUGAGCUUUAUAACAGCAGCAAGGGAAGGAGUUUUGGUUUUUCCUUUCCUGGUAGUGCUGUAGCUUUGGUCCUUUUCUUACAUCUACCCUAAAAAUUCACUGUGUUAUGGAUGAUGAAACAAAAUAUUUGUGGGUCAGGUCUGUUUUUCCCCCUUCUUCAACACAUCCAACUGUGGGAACCUAGAGAGGAAAUCUUACUUCUGCCUGCCCCUUGUAAGAGUAAGUCCACAGACUCGGCUGUAAUGAGAAUCCUAGUGUGCCAAGAUUUUUUGACAUAACUCUGCCCAGAUAGACGGCAUCUGCUCUGAAGACAUUGCCUUAGAAAUAGCAAACCAUCCUGCUGCUGUUGUGUCCCCAAUGAAGGCUCUUCCAUUUACACUGUGGCACAGAGAUGCAUUCCUGCCUGCCUGGGGUACCUCCAUGCAUGUGACCAUAUCACCACUGGGCCUUUUGACCUUCUGUACUGGAAACUUUCUUUUCGAUCCCAUACAUCCUCAUAGGUUCCUGGGCAGGAUAUUCACAGCAAAGAAAGGAAGUGAAGACAACAUGACACAUCUGCAGCUCACAGCCACCACCGUCACACGAUGUGGAGUAAAGCUGCCAAGGAGAAGAGCCUCUUUCAGUCAUUUUUCAGGCUCCUUUGUUCAUUAGUCACAGUUUUGACAAGCAGCUAACUCUCUUGAAGAUUGUCUCCAUCUCCAUGCUAGAAAGAAAUGACAAAUCACUCAAAGUUUAGGCAACAAGUUGAUCAGAGACUCAGCAGUGAUAAUGCUGCACUUCUUCGUGGUGGUAACAACCCCAGACACCUACCAAAAUAGCUUGUCAGCUCUGCUUCAUUCAAGUAUUCAAACCACCCAACAUACAGGCAGUCAGAUAAUCUGGCAGACGAAUAAAGUGCCUCGAACAUGACUGCCUUUGACAUCAAAGACUGAACUCCCCAUGUCUUCCAAUAUGCAUUUUGUUUGCCUCACCCAGUUGCUAUUCAUGCCACUUGCUGAUUUCCUAUCCCCUUCUCGGCAGUAUUGCACUGACUCAGUAUUGAUGGACUUUGAAACUUUAAGAUAGCAAUCUUUAUAGCCUUUCUAAGUGUUUAUAACUUGGUUUUUAAUGCAUAUACAGAGCCAAAUUUUGGCUAUGUAAGUUCUUGAGUCCCAAAGUCACUUGAGUGAGUAUCCACAUUUAGGAGUUAACAGCUUUCAAAGUGCAUUUGAUAUCCCUUGGAAUCUUUUUUUUUUUUUUUUUUUCCAUUGCUUAUGUCACAUGGUAGAGGGAGAGAGCAGUGGCAUAAAAAGAGAAGGUAAUGUGUAGUAAAAUGGAGAGAGCUAUUAAGUGAUUCUCCUCAAAUAGGAAAGUUUACCUUGGAAAAUUCGCAUACUAAUCGUAGCUCAGGGACACACACUGUUUAUUAAAAUGAAAUCGGUACUGUAGAGCAUGAACUAAAUAAAGAAAUGAUCUUGUGCUCCAGUGACCAGCCAUUAUGCUAUGUAAAUACAUGAUCCCAUAUGUGCAAAGUGUUGUUAACAAAAAUUUGUGUAGUUAUUUUAAAGUAGCAACAUAGAAAGACUUAAAAAAAAAAAAAAAAAAAAAAAAAAAAGACUAAUCAUCUCUUAGCUAAUAAAGAACUUACCUAUUUUUAAUAGAUUCCACUAGCAAGAGACUAGAUGUAUAUAAACUGGUAUCACUGUCAGUACUAGUGUGGGUUUUCUUACCCAUCAACAACUAAAGUUUUUCUACAAAUAACCCUUAACAAUCAGAGUGAAAUCUAGAUUUUGUGUCCUACCAGAAAUUCUGACAUUUCAGUAGUUAUUUUUGCUCUGGAAAUGUAAAAGUGCUUCCUUGCAAUUCAAAGCCAAGGAGGAUCCUGGAUAUUUCUGGAAUAACACUUCCCAACAUUGUUCUGUUGACCACUUUUGUUCUGUUAACCACAUUUCAUUCCCUUAUUCUAUUGUUGAUCGAGAAGCGUAGGGCAGAUGCACUCAAUCUUGCACAAUACACAGUGGACUCUCCCUCCCUGCUCGCAGCGUUUGCAAUUGCCUCGACUCAGAAUCCUCCCACACUGUGACCUCAGCUGACCAAGCGAGCUGUAAUAAUAGCUUUCUUCUUUGAGUGAGUAUUCAUUUUUCAGGAUAAUCAUGACGAUUAAAGCCUACCUGUGUUUUGCGCAGGAAAUAAAAAAUAGCCAGUGUUAUAAAAAUCUGAAGAAUGUUACCAUCAAAGCUACAAUAAGCAAGAAAAAUAAAAUUGCAGGCUCUCAGUCCUGUGUUUCUGUCAUUGCCCCACGGUGGUGCAGUAUCAGUUAAAACACUGGGCUUAUGCACCUUUGUACUUCUCUGGUUUUAAACUGCUUUGGAAUUUUUGAAUGAAAUCUCCAUUCUUUCCACUUAACCUUUUAUAUAUUUGGUGUAUCUCUAAUGCUCUAUUAAUUAAUUCCACCCUUAGAAUAAAAUGCUAAUAUAGCGAAGUGACCAUGGGGUUUUAUCUUUGUGCAACAGUACAA